rnacentral:rRNA from 1 species
UGCCAGCCGCCGCGGUAAGACAGAGGUCUCAAGCGUUAUCCGGAUUCACUGGGCGUAAAGGGCGCGCAGGCGGUCUUGUCCGUCAGGUGUGAAAGCUCGGGGCUCAACCCCGGAAGUGCACUUGAAACAGCAAGACUUGAAUACGGUAGAGGAGAGAGGAAUUCCUGGUGUAGAGGUGAAAUUCGUAGAUAUCAGGAGGAACACCGAUGGCGAAGGCAUCUCUCUGGGCCGAUAUUGACGCUGAGGCGCGAAGGCGUGGGUAGCGAACGGGAUUAGAUA